UACCAAAGUUGAUCGUGUUUAUGACGUCGAAUAUCGUCGAUAUUCGACGUCAUAAACACGAUAAACUUUGUGUUUAAGACGACGAUAUUCCACGUCCUAAACACGAUCAACUUUGGUGUUUAGGACGUCGAUAUAUUCGACGUCAUAAACACGAUCAACUUUGGUAUUUAUGACGUCGAUAUUCGACGUCAUAAACACGACCAACUUUGUUGUUUAUGACGUCGAUAUUCGACGUCAUAAACACGAUCAACUUUGGUG